rnacentral:misc_RNA from 1 species
AAGUAAUGCUCACAACUUCCCUCUAGACCUAGCUGCUGUUGAAGUUCCAUCUACAAAUGGAUAAGACUUCUCUUCUGUCUUAAUGUAUUAAGAAUGAUUAAAGGGGGCAUAUCCCAUACAUAUCUUCCUAAAAAUAUAUAUUAUAUAUUAUAUAUGGGGUAUAGCCCCCCCCUUCUUUGAAUGAUUUUUUCUUUUUUUCAAAAUGAACGACGAGAUUUAUUAUCGUUUCUCGCAUGUCUCGCGAAAGUCAGACUAGGCGCGAAUUCUCCCAAUUUGUGACCUACCAUACGAUCUGUUAUAGUUAUAUAAAUAGGUAAAUGUUCUUUUCCAUUAUGAAUAGCGAUUGUAUGGCCAAUCAUUGUGGGUAUAAUGGUAGAUGCCCGAGACCAAGUUACUAUUAUUUCUUUCUCCUCCUUCAUGUUGAGUUUUUCCAUUUUUCCCGAAAAAUGAUUAGCUACAAAAGGAUUUUUUUUUUUCGUGAAUGUGUCACAGCUGAUUACUCCUUUUUUUUACAUUUUCAAGAUUGGCAUUCUACGUCUAAUAGAAUAUCUCGAUCUAAGUAUGAAGGUAAGAAUAAAUACAAUAAUGAURAAUAUACAAUAAUGAKNAAUGGAAAAAAWAGAAAAUCCUUUACCUAGAUAAGGGGCGGAUGUAGCCAAGUGGAUCAAGGCAGUGGAUUG